UACGUAGGGGGCAAGCGUUGUCCGGAUUUAUUGGGCGUAAAGAGCGUGUAGGCGGCUUUACAGGUCCGUUGUGAAAACUCGAGGCUCAACCUCGAGACGCCGGUGGAAACCGUAAGGCUAGAGUCCGGAAGAGGAGAGUGGAAUUCCUGGUGUAGCGGUGAAAUGCGCAGAUAUCAGGAGGAACACCGGUGGCGAAGGCGGGUCUCUGGGCCGUUACUGACGCUGAGGAGC
rnacentral:rRNA from 1 species